rnacentral:miRNA from 1 species
UCAGAAACAGUGUCUCAU